GCCCCCGUUGUCUAAUGGCUAUGAUAUCAGACUUCUACGGGCGUAGCGCCGGGUAUCUGGGGGUUGCGGGUUCGAGUCCCGCCGGGGGUA